CCAUCAUUUAAAGAAAGCGUAAUAGCUCACUGGUCGAGUCGGCCUGCGCGGAAGAUGUAACGGGGCUAAACCAUGCACCGAAGCUGCGGCAGCGACGCUUAUGCGUUGUUGGGUAGGGGAGCGUUCUGUAAGCCUGUGAAGGUGUGCUGUGAGGCAUGCUGGAGGUAUCAGAAGUGCGAAUGCUGACAUAAGUAACGAUAAAGCGGGUGAAAAGCCCGCUCGCCGGAAGACCAAGGGUUCCUGUCCAACGUUAAUCGGGGCAGGGUGAGUCGACCCCUAAGGCGAGGCCGAAAGGCGUAGUCGAUGGGAAACAGGUUAAUAUUCCUGUACUUGGUGUUACUGCGAAGGGGGGACGGAGAAGGCUAUGUUGGCCGGGCGACGGUUGUCCCGGUUUAAGCGUGUAGGCUGGUUUUCCAGGCAAAUCCGGAAAAUCAAGGCUGAGGCGUGAUGACGAGGCACUACGGUGCUGAAGCAACAAAUGCCCUGCUUCCAGGAAAAGCCUCUAAGCAUCAGGUAACAUCAAAUCGUACCCCAAACCGACACAGGUGGUCAGGUAGAGAAUACCAAGGCGCUUGAGAGAACUCGGGUGAAGGAACUAGGCAAAAUGGUGCCGUAACUUCGGGAGAAGGCACGCUGAUAUGUAGGUGA
rnacentral:rRNA from 1 species